ACUGCCGGUGACAAACCGGAGGAAGUGGGGAUGACGUCAAGUCCUCAUGGCCCUUAUGGGUAGGGCUUCACACGUCAUACGAAUGGUCGGUACAGAGGGUUGCCAAGCCGCGAGGCGGAGCCAAUCCCACAAAGCCGAUCGUAGUCCGGAUUGCAGUCUGCAACUCGACUGCAUGAAGUCGGAAUCGCUAGUAAUCGCGGAUCAGCAUGUCGCGGUGAAUACGUUCCCGGGCCUU
rnacentral:rRNA from 1 species